CAGCAGCCGCGGUAAAACGGAGGAUCCAAGCGUUAUCCGGAAUCAUUGGGUUUAAAGGGUCCGUAGGCGGUCUUGUAAGUCAGUGGUGAAAGCCCAUCGCUCAACGGUGGAACGGCCAUUGAUACUGCAGGACUUGAAUUAUUGGGAAGUAACUAGAAUAUGUAGUGUAGCGGUGAAAUGCUUAGAGAUUACAUGGAAUACCAAUUGCGAAGGCAGGUUACUACCAAUUGAUUGACGCUGAGGUACGAAAGCAUGGGGAGCAAACAGGAUUAGAUACCCCAGUAGUCCCUGUCUCUUAUAC
rnacentral:rRNA from 1 species